UAGGGAAUCUUCGGCAAUGGACGAAAGUCUGACCGAGCAACGCCGCGUGAGUGAAGAAGGUUUUCGGAUCGUAAAACUCUGUUGUUAGAGAAGAACAAGGACGUUAGUAACUGAACGUCCCCUGACGGUAUCUAACCAGAAAGCCACGGCUAACUACGUGCCAGCAGCCGCGGUAAUACGUAGGUGGCAAGCGUUGCCCGGAUUUAUUGGGCGUAAAGCGAUCGCAGGCGGUUUCUUAAGUCUGAUGUGAAAGCCCCCGGCUCAACCGGGGAGGGUCAUUGGAAACUGGGGGACUUGAGUGCAGAAGAGGAGAGUGGAAUUCCAUGUGUAGCGGUGAAAUGCGUAGAUAUAUGGAGGAACACCAGUGGCGAAGGCGGCUCUCUGGUCUGUAACUGACGCUGAGGCUCGAAAGCGUGGGGAGCAAACAGG
rnacentral:rRNA from 1 species